UUAAGAACGUAAUUAGCGUAGUCAAAGAAAAGUUGAUAGUAAUAUACCAAAGUAUAGAUUACAAGUCAAAAUAUAGCCUAUUGAAAUAGAAUAAAAUAAUCGUUUCUUGAUCAAGUUCAUUAACUAACUUUUUGGCAAAGGUGUUUCUCUGCCGUUCAUGGUGAUUUUGGCUCCUCUUCUUCUUUCCCUUUCUGGUCUCUAGUAAAUUUUCUUCAAGGUUCUUGAAAUAAAUGAUGUACAAUAAUCAAUAAUCAAGAAACGUGAAUCUUGGAUAUUUUCUGAUUUCUAGUAAUAAAAUUGCUAAGAAACUAUUCUAAAAUAAUGCACUAAAAAUGAAUGCAAAUCAAGAACAUCUUAUGAACUAUUGCAUAUGUUGGCAACAAUUAAUCUUUUAUCUUACCAAAUUUAUGGGGUUUGACUUUAUAGCAAAAGAUCAUGAGGGAAACUGGGAAAACCAACAAAUGUGAGAAUUGUCUUCAAACAAGGUACGUCUAGCAUCAUUUGAAAAAUUAAUAAAAAAAUAUCAAUAGUAAUAAAGGAGAGUUAAAGAAGAACGAGACAACACGAUUUCUUUCGAUUAUUCAAAAAAUGCUUAUGGAUUAUGACAGCAAAAAAAUAUCAUGAUAACAAUGCAAAAACUAGUUCUUCCCAGAUCAUGUGAAAGCAAUAUCAAUCAUAUCACGAGCGUAAGAUAACAGGCAGUCGCUGCACGUACUAGUAGAUCGAAGUCCAUUUAGAAACGCAUAAAUUGGUGAAAUUACUGGAAGCCCUAUUUUCAUUGUCUCUAGUAUCGAAUCGAACCCAAUUUCUAAUAUACUUACAACGUAGUUUUGAGCUUGUGAAUCCUUAAUGAUCUCCUUUGUUAAUGAAUAUUAAGCUUUUACUAGAAAUCCCCUGCCGGAAACUUGUUUCACCAUUCUUAAAUCUGCAAAACAUUGGAAUAAUAAUGAAGCUAUAAUGUCCAUUAGAAAGAAGAGCUAUUGUCAUUUUCCAAACCUAAUCAAAAGAAAUAAGCUAGUACCUUGAGUAAAACAAUUAAUCACAUUCAUGGCCAUUGAUUGAUUCCAAUCCCUUCACUCGGAGACUAAAAACGCUCCAGACCCGAACUAUCUGUAAAUAAUUAAAACUUGCUCCAAGAUUCUCUAGCACCAAAAUCAACUGACGCAGGUGCAUAUUAUGAUUUCGAGAAAAUUGUAAAGGAGGUCGAUUAGGUGAAGGAGAAGAUUUUGCAAAAAGGGAUAAGGGUUUGGACUGCAAUGAAUGGCUGAUUGAUGACGAUGCCAAGUUCGAUUAGGCAGAGAGGAGAAGAAAGAAAACGAAAUGGAAAGGAAAAAGAAAGGAGGGAAACGGACCCAGG
rnacentral:lncRNA from 1 species